GACGAACGCUGGCGGCGCGCUUAACACAUGCAAGUCGAACGGAAAGGCCUGCUUUCCCUUGUGGAUUGCGGGUACUCGAGUGGCGAACGGGUGAGUAACACGUGAGUGAUCUGCCCCCAACUUGGGUAUAAGCCUGGGAAACUGGGUCUAAUUCCCGAUAGGACUGCAGGGUGGUGCCUGUGGUGGAAAACGAUUUUCUAGUGGUUGGGGAUGAGCUCGCGGCCUAUCAGCUUGUUGGUGGGGUAAUGGCCUACCAAGGCGGCGACGGGUAGCCGGCCUGGGAGGGUGGACGGCCACAUUGGGACUGAGAUCCGGCCCAGACUCCUACGGGAGGCAGCAGUGGGGAAGAUUGCACAAUGGGCGGAAGCCUGAUGCAGCGACGCCGCGUGGGGGAUGACGGCCUUCGGGUUGUAAACUCCUUUCGACCGCGAGGAAGCCACCUGGUUGGAAGGGUGGUGACGGUAGUGGUAGAAGAAGCACCGGCUAACUACGUG
rnacentral:rRNA from 1 species